AACAUGCAUGCUAAUCACCUAGCAAUGCAACAUCAACAAUAAUCAAGAAUAGACACAUGCUCACACUCUAAGCCAUAAUACAGUCUAUUCACAAACGUAUACAUUCACAUCAUCAUGUAUACCAUCACACAUCAUCAACAUAAUUAAUCACAAAAGCAUAUCAUAUCAUGCCACAUAAUCAAACACAGUACUAGCCCGCUCUACUAAUACCUAUACCACUCAAAACAACGGGAAACGAUCCCUACAACAUCAUAUCUCAGCUAAGUACAUCACUCAGCCUAAACAACCAAAAACUGCACAACA
rnacentral:lncRNA from 1 species